rnacentral:ncRNA from 16 species
CGUAGUCCAAUGGUCAGGAUAUCUCGCUUUCACCGAGAAGGUCCGGGUUCAAUUCCCGGCG